GAUGAACGCUGGCGGCGUGCCUAAUACAUGCAAGUCGAGCGAACGGACGAGAAGCUUGCUUCUCUGAUGUUAGCGGCGGACGGGUGAGUAACACGUGGAUAACCUACCUAUAAGACUGGGAUAACUUCGGGAAACCGGAGCUAAUACCGGAUGAUAUUUUGAACCGCAUGGUUCAAAAGUGAAAGACGGUCUUGCUGUCACUUAUAGAUGGAUCCGCGCUGCAUUAGCUAGUUGGUAAGGUAACGGCUUACCAAGGCAACGAUGCAUAGCCGACCUGAGAGGGUGAUCGGCCACACUGGAACUGAGACACGGUCCAGACUCCUACGGGAGGCAGCAGUAGGGAAUCUUCCGCAAUGGGCGAAAGCCUGACGGAGCAACGCCGCGUGAGUGAUGAAGGUCUUCGGAUCGUAAAACUCUGUUAUUAGGGAAGAGCAUAUGUGUAAGUAACUGUGCACAUCUUGACGGUACCUAAUCAGAAAACCACGGCUAACUACGU
rnacentral:rRNA from 1 species